UACGAAGGGGGCUAGCGUUGCUCGGAAUCACUGGGCGUAAAGGGUGCGUAGGCGGGUCUUUAAGUCAGGGGUGAAAUCCUGGAGCUCAACUCCAGAACUGCCUUUGAUACUGAGGAUCUUGAGUUCGGGAGAGGUGAGUGGAACUGCGAGUGUAGAGGUGAAAUUCGUAGAUAUUCGCAAGAACACCAGUGGCGAAGGCGGCUCACUGGCCCGAUA
rnacentral:rRNA from 1 species